rnacentral:rRNA from 1 species
GAUGAACGCUGGCGGCGUGCCUAAUACAUGCAAGUCGAGCGAACAGACGAGGAGCUUGCUUCUCUGACGUUAGCGGCGGACGGGUGAGUAACACGUGGAUAACCUACCUAUAAGACUGGGAUAACUUCGGGAAACCGGAGCUAAUACCGGAUAAUAUUUUGAACCGCAUGGUUCAAUAGUGAAAGACGGUCUUGCUGUCACUUAUAGAUGGAUACGCGCUGCAUUAGCUAGUUGGUAAGGUAACGGCUUACCAAGGCAACGAUGCGUAGCCGACCUGAGAGGCUGAUCGGCCACACUGGAACUGAGACACGGACCAGACUCCUACGGGAGGCAGCAGUAGGGAAUCGGCCGCAAUGGGCGAAAGCCUGACGGAGCAAGGCCGCGUGAGUGAUGAAGGUCUUGGGAUCGUAAAACUCUGUUAUUAGGGAAGAACAUAUGUGUAAGUAACUGUGCACAGCUUGACGGUACCUAAUCAGAAAGCCACGGCUAACUACGUG